AGUGAACGUUGGCGGCGUGGAUUAGGCAUGCAAGUCGAGCGAGAGCCGUAGCAAUACGGGGACAGCGGCGAAAGGGACAGUAAUGUGUAGGUACCUACCUCCGGGUUCGGGAUAGCUGCGGGAAACUGCAGGUAAUACCGAAUAACGUCUCCGGACCAAAGGUGUGAUUCCACCUGGAGAGGGGCCUGCAUCCUAUUAGCUUGUUGGCGGGGUAACGGCCCACCAAGGCGACGAGGGGUAGCGGGUGUGAGAGCACGACCCGCGUCAUUGGGACUGAGACACUGCCCAGACACCUACGGGUGGCUGCAGUCGUGAAUCUUCGGCAAUGGGCGCAAGCCUGACCGAGCGACGCCGCGUGCGGGAUGAAGGCCUUCGGGUUGUAAACCGCUGUCGUAGAGGAGGAAAUGCAGGGGGGUUCUCCCCUCUGUUUGACCUAUUCUAGGAGGAAGUACGGGCUAAGUUCGUGCCAGCCGCCGCAGUAA
rnacentral:rRNA from 1 species